rnacentral:rRNA from 1 species
GACGAACGCUGGCGGCGUGCUUAACACAUGCAAGUCGAACGGAAAGGCCUGCUUUCCCUUGUGGAUUGCGGGUACUCGAGUGGCGAACGGGUGAGUAACACGUGAGUGAUCUGCCCCCAACUUGGGUAUAAGCCUGGGAAACUGGGUCUAAUUCCCGAUAGGACUGCAGGGUGGUGCCUGUGGUGGAAAACGAUUUUCUAGUGGUUGGGGAUGAGCUCGCGGCCUAUCAGCUUGUUGGUGGGGUAAUGGCUUACCAAGGCGGCGACGGGUAGCCGGCCUGAGAGGGUGGACGGUCAAAUUGGGACUGGGACACGGCCCAGACUCCUACGGGAAGCAGCAGUGGGGAAUAUUACACAAUGGGCGGAAGCCUGAUGCAGCGACGCCGCGUGGGGGAUGACGGCCUUCGGGUUGUAAACUCCUUUCGACCGCGGGGAAGCCACCUGGUUGGAAGGGUGGUGACGGUAGUGGUAGAAGAAGCACCGACUAACUACGUG